AUACGCCCUACGGGGGAAAGCAGGGGAUCUUCGGACCUUGCGCUAAUAGAUGAGCCUAAGUCAGAUUAGCUAGUUGGUGGGGUAAAGGCCUACCAAGGCGACGAUCUGUAGCGGGUCUGAGAGGAUGAUCCGCCACACUGGGACUGAGACACGGCCCAGACUCCUACGGGAGGCAGCAGUGGGGAAUAUUGGACAAUGGGCGAAAGCCUGAUCCAGCCAUGCCGCGUGUGUGAAGAAGGCCUUUUGGUUGUAAAGCACUUUAAGCGAGGAGGAGGCUACUUGGAUUAAUACUCUAGGAUAGUGGACGUUACUCGCAGAAUAAGCACCGGCUAACUCUGUGCCAGCAGCCGCGGUAAUACAGAGGGUGCGAGCGUUAAUCGGAUUUACUGGGCGUAAAGCGUGCGUAGGCGGCUUUUUAAGUCGGAUGUGAAAUCCCUGAGCUUAACUUAGGAAUUGCAUUCGAUACUGGGAAGCUAGAGUAUGGGAGAGGAUGGUAGAAUUCCAGGUGUAGCGGUGAAAUGCGUAGAGAUCUGGAGGAAUACCGAUGGCGAAGGCAGCCAUCUGGCCUAAUACUGACGCUGAGGUACGAAAGCAUGGGGAGCAAACAGGAUUAGAUACCCUGGUAGUCCAUGCCGUAAACGAUGUCUACUAGCCGUUGGGGCCUUUGAGGCUUUAGUGGCGCAGCUAACGCGAUAAGUAGACCGCCCUGGGGGA
rnacentral:rRNA from 1 species